rnacentral:rRNA from 1 species
AUUGAACGCUGGCGGCAUGCUUUACACAUGCAAGUCGAACGGCAGCGCGGGCUUCGGCCUGGCGGCGAGUGGCGAACGGGUGAGUAAUGCAUCGGAACGUGCCCAGUAGUGGGGGAUAGCCCAGCGAAAGCCGGAUUAAUACCGCAUACGACCUGAGGGUGAAAGCGGGGGACCGAAAGGCCUCGCGCUAUUGGAGCGGCCGAUGUCGGAUUAGCUAGUUGGUGGGGUAAAGGCUUACCAAGGCGACGAUCCGUAGCUGGUCUGAGAGGACGACCAGCCACACUGGGACUGAGACACGGCCCAGACUCCUACGGGAGGCAGCAGUGGGGAAUUUUGGACAAUGUGGGCAACCCUGAUCCAGCCAUGCCGCGUGCGGGAAGAAGGCCUUCGGGUUGUAAACCGCUUUUGUUCGGGAAGAAAUCCUCUGGGCUAAUACCCCGGGGGGAUGACGGUACCGGAAGAAUAAGCACCGGCUAACUACGUG